UACGUAGGGCGCAAGCGUUGUCCGGAAUUAUUGGGCGUAAAGAGCUCGUAGGCGGUCUGUCGCGUCGGAUGUGAAAAGCCCGGGGCUUAACCCCGGGUUUGCAUUCGAUACGGGCAGACUAGAGUGUGGUAGGGGAGAUCGAAUUCCUGGUGUAGCGGUGAAAUGCGCAGAUAUCAGGAGGAACACCGGUGGCGAAGGCAGAUCUCUGGGCCGUAACUGACGCUGAGGAGCGAAAGCAUGGGGAGCGAACAGG
rnacentral:rRNA from 1 species